UAUUCUUCUUGUGUCCAGGAAUACAAAGGU
rnacentral:piRNA from 1 species